ACAAUACCGCAUACGCUCGCAAGAGCAAAGCCCGCAAGGGCGCCUGAGGAUGAGCCUGCGCUCGAUUAGUUGGUUGGUGGGGUAAUGGCCUACCAAGACUGCGAUCGAUAGCUGGUCUGAGAGGACGAUCAGCCACACUGGGAUUGAGAACGGCCCAGACUCCUACGGGGGGCAGCAGUGAGGAAUUUUCGUCAAUGGGGGCAACCCUGAACGAGCAACGCCGCGUGCAGGAUGACGGUUUUCGGAUCGUAAACUGCUUUUCUCUGGGACGAGAACGGACGGUACCAGAGGAAUCAGCCUCGGCUAACUACGUGCCAGCAGCCGCGGUAAUACGUAGGAGGCGAGCGUUGUCCGGAGUUACUGGGCGUAAAGCGCACGCAGGCGGUCAGAUUAGUCUGUAGUGACAGUCGUCGGCUCAACUGACGAAGUACUAUGGAAACUGUCUGACUUGAGGGCUUCAGAGGGACACGGAAUUCCGGGUGGAGUGGUGAAAUGCGUAGAUAUCCGGAGGAACACCAAAGGCGAAGGCAGUGUCCUGGGAAGUACCUGACGCUCAGGUGCGAAAGCUAGGGGAGCGAACA
rnacentral:rRNA from 1 species